rnacentral:rRNA from 1 species
GAAGGUGGCUAGCGUUGUUCGGUGUCACUGGGCUUAAAGCGUGUGUAGGCGGAAAGAUAAGCGUCUUGUGAAAUACCUCGGCUUAACCGAGGAAUUGCUCGGCGAACUAUCUUUCUUGAGGCAAGUAGGAGUGCAUGGAACUCUUGGUGGAGCGGUGGAAUGCGUAGAUAUCAAGAGGAACGCCAAUGGAGAAAUCAGUGCACUGGGCUUGUCCUGACGCUGAGACACGAAAGCGUGGGGGGAGCGAACGGGAUUAGAUACCCCGGUAGUCCACGCCGUAAACGAUGUCUACUAGGUUGUGGGAGUUCUGACACUCUCGCGACCGAAGCAAAAGUGUUAAGUAGACCGCCUGGGAGUACGGUCGCAAGGCUA